rnacentral:rRNA from 1 species
GAGAUCGCAUGAUUUUCAUAUCAAAGAUUUAUCGCUGUAAGAUGAGCUCGCGUCUGAUUAGAUAGUUGGUGAGGUAACGGCUCACCAAGUCUACGAUCAGUAGCCGAACUGAGAGGUUGAUUGGCCACAUUGGGACUGAGACACGGCCCAGACUCCUACGGGAGGCAGCAGUGGGGAAUAUUGCACAAUGGGGGAAACCCUGAUGCAGCAACGCCGCGUGAGGGAAGAAGGCUUUCGGGUUGUAAACCUCUGUCUUUGAGGAUGAUAAUGACAGUACUCAAAGAGGAAGCUCCGGCUAACUACGUGCCAGCAGCCGCGGUAAUACGUAGGGAGCGAGCGUUGUCCGGAAUUACUGGGUGUAAAGGGAGCGUAGGCGGAUUUGCAAGUUGAAUGUGAAAUUUGUGGGCUUAACCCAUAAACUGCGUUCAAAACUGUAGAUCUUGAGUGAAGUAGAGGCAAAUGGAAUUCCUAGUGUAGCGGUGAAAUGCAUAGAUAUUAGGAGGAACACCAGUGGCGAAAGCGAUUUGCUGGGCUUUAACUGACGCUGAGGCUCGAAAGCAUGGGGAGCAAACAGGAUUAG